rnacentral:snRNA from 1 species
GUACUUACCUGGCAGGGGAGAUACCAUGAUCACGAAGGUGGUUUUCCCAGGGCGAGGCUUAUCCAUUGCACUCCGGAUGUGCUGACCCCUGCGAUUUCCCCAAAUGUGGGAAACUCGACUGCAUAAUUUGUGGUAGUGGGGGACUGCGUUCGCGCUUUCCCCUG